rnacentral:lncRNA from 1 species
GGGUUUUAAUGGGUUUUAAUGGGUAAUACUGGGCAAUACUGGGUAAUAUAAAAUACUGGCCUGAAUUUUAAAGAGGAUUCAGUGAUCAAACUCAAUUGCAAUACAUUUAAGUUAUUUAUAAACACAUUUUGAUUUAUAAAUUAGUUUACUUGUUUGAGAGUGAUAAUACAAGUGUAUAUAAAUUUGCAAAAGUACUAUUCUUGCAACUAUGAGACAAGUUAACAUGUAGGCACUCAUUACA